AGAGAUGCUUUGGUGGCCUUCGGGAACUCUGAGACAGGUGCUGCAUGGCUGUCGUCAGCUCGUGUUGUGAAAUGUUGGGUUAAGUCCCGCAACGAGCGCAACCCUUAUCCUUUGUUGCCAGCGGCUCGGCCGGGAACUCAAAGGAGACUGCCGGUGAUAAACCGGAGGAAGGUGGGGAUGACGUCAAGUCAUCAUGGCCCUUACGGCCAGGGCUACACACGUGCUACAAUGGCGCAUACAAAGAGAAGCGACCUCGCGAGAGCAAGCGGACCUCAUAAAGUGCGUCGUAGUCCGGAUUGGAGUCUGCAACUCGACUCCAUGAAGUCGGAAUCGCUAGUAAUCGUAGAUCAGAAUGCUACGGUGAAUACGUUCCCGGGCCUUGUACACACCGCCCGUCACACCAUGGGAGUGGGUUGCAAAAGAAGUAGGUAGCUUAACCUUCGGGAGGGCGCUUACCACUUUGUGAUUCAUGACUGGGGUGAAGUCGUAACAAGGUAAGCGUAGCGAG
rnacentral:rRNA from 1 species